rnacentral:tRNA from 1 species
GGGCCCAUAGCUCAACGGUUAGAGAAUCGGACUAAUAAUUCGAAGGUUCCAGGUUCGAAUCCUCGUAGCCCA